UACGUAGGUCCCGAGCGUUGUCCGGAUUUAUUGGGCGUAAAGCGAGCGCAGGUGGUUUGUUAAGUCUGGUGUAAAGGGCAGUGGCUCAACCAUUGUAUGCAUUGGAAACUGGUAGACUUGAGUGCAGGAGAGGAGAGUGGAAUUCCAUGUGUAGCGGUGAAAUGCGUAGAUAUAUGGAGGAACACCGGUGGCGAAAGCGGCUCUCUGGCCUGUAACUGACACUGAGGCUCGAAAGCGUGGGGAGCAAACAGG
rnacentral:rRNA from 1 species